CGGGUACAGAUCUGCGCACAGAUCGAAAUUGACAAGAGAGGAGAUCAACAUGGCAACAGCCAACCUGAAACUUGAGCACAAGUCAAAUUCACAAGUGACGCUCAACACAUCCCGUGCAAGGCAUGCCAACUCCUCUUGAGCUCAACGCAGGAAAUAGCAAGCAGUGGCAUCAUGAUCUAAAUUUGGCCGUUCUCUAUUGCGUUCAGUGUCUGUCGAAUCUGUAAUAAACUCAGCCAUGCUGCUACCAAUGGUUGACAUCGCUCCAAUUUAAAAUACUUUCCGACCAAUCAAGCACUCCAAGCUGAUGCUUCAUCCUAGCCGAUGGACUAGGGCUUAGAACACCUUACAAAUGACCUCAAUCAAAUGCAAAUUGCUGCUCCUGCAGAUGGGUCAGAGAAAGUUCUGGUAGGCAACGGGCAAUCGGUAAUUGUAGUGCUUAUAGGUGAUGGUAUACUUCCUACUACUUGCACACUUCGACUUCCCACUUUCUGGAAUGUUCCAUCCCUCUCUCACAACCUCCUCUCAGUUCAUAAGCUUACCAAAGAUAACAAUGCUACUAUUUUAUUUGACGAAACUGGUUUUCUUAUCUUUGACUCACGGAUACAUCAAACUCUGCUUUGGGGUUGCCUCUCUAAUGGGUUAUACUCCAACCCUACCUCCCACUCCAAAAACAAAAUCUCUGCAGCUCAUCAAGCCUUGGUGGCUUCCUUACAACUCUCUACUCUUUGGCAUAAAUAGUUUGGACGCCCUCAUCAAGCUAUUCUUUAACUCAUAUAGAAGACACACUCGUCCUUCGGAAUACCACCAAGUCUACCUCGAUGUGAUAGUUGUAACUGUAAUAAGAGUCGCAAACAACUUUUUCCUUUCAAUUUCUCUCAGCAUGUAUUCCCCUCUACAAUUAAUCCAUUCCGAUGUAUGAGGUCGGUCCCACUAACAUUUAAUCAAAGUUUUAGAUACUAUUGUAAUUUUUGUUGAUGAAUAUUCCAAAUUUUGUUGGCUAUUCCCCGUGACGUAAACAUUUGAAACAACAAAAAAAAAUUUAUCAAAUUGAUUCAAAUGAUCAACAACUAGUUUAACACCAAAAUAAAAAUAUUCAGAUCGGCAGAGAAUACAAUUAUCUAAACUUUAAAAACUUCCUGAUGCAACAUGGCGUACUCCAUCAAUUCUUCUGACUAUAUAAGUCGGAACAAAAUGAGAUUGUCGAGCGCAAUUGCCACCUUAUCAAAACCACCCGCACGCUUCUAUCCGAGCCUCUCUUUCUCUAAAAUUCUUGCUAGAAGCAUUACUCACAGUGGAACCUCAUUAACCACAUGCCUCUAAAAAUAUUUAGUCUAAUACUCCAUAUAAGCUCCUCUACAAUAAGUCACCCACAUAUUCACAUCUGAAAGUUUUGGGAUGUUCUUGCUACCCAUGGUUGAAAUAUUUGACACCACACAGGCUAGCUCCCCAAUCAACCCAAUGCAUCUUCCUAUGCUACUCCUCUGCUCACAAAGGGUACAAAUGUUAUGACCCUUAAUCAGCCAAACUCAUAAUUUUUCGACUUGUGGUCUUUAAUGAAACAAAAUUCCCAUUCCUAUCUAGCUUCUUUACUAUUCCACCACAUGUACCACCAAUUACCAACCCAUCCCUUCUUUACCAACUUCAACCGUGAUACCAAGUUCCACAACAUAUGGACAGCCCAAUCUCCAAUCCACUUUUGGCCACAUCACAACCAACACACCUCUCCUCCUAAUCUUCACCUAUUCAUACCUUACAGCCUUUGCUGUCUAAGAUAGCACAUCACCAGUGGAACAGCUACUGGUUGUUACUCACCCAAUGCUAACUAGAGCUAAAACAGGUAAUUUGAAGCCCACCCAAUGACUUAAUCUCCUCCAACAGUUGCAGCUCCCACUUGAUCCCAUGUUCUACAACCAAGCAACAAAAUCUGUGCAUUGGCGCAAAGCUACGACUAAGGAAUUUCAUGUUCUUCAAGUUCAAGAAAUCUAGACUCUAGUUCCAACACCUACUAAUCAACCUGCCUUGUGUUGUCGAAAAAUGUACAACACAAAACUUCAUUCAGAUGGGACAAUAACAAUAAUAAGCAAGACUAGUGGCUCAAUGAUACAAUCAAGAGUAUGCAAUGAACUAUCAUGAGACUUUCAGCCUUGUUGCAAAGAUGGCAACUUAGAGAACAUUCCUAAUGGUGGCAUUCAAUCGACAAUGGCCACUUAUUCAAUUUGAAGUCUCCAAUGCAUUCUUGCAUGGUACGUUACUGGAGACAAUGUAUAUGUAAAAACUGAUUGGGCUUACGAAUACCCUAAUCCCUCACCAUGUAUGUGUUCUCAAGAAGGCCCUAUACGUUCUCAAGCAAUCCCCUCGACAGUGUUUGCUACCAUAUCAUAUUUUUUUCAUUCAGUUGGGAUUUACUAUUAGCAAGAACGAUCCGUCCCUUCUG